rnacentral:rRNA from 1 species
UGGGGAAUAUUGGACAAUGGGCGCAAGCCUGAUCCAGCCAUGCCGCGUGGGUGAGGAAGGCCUUCGGGUUGUAAAACCCUUUCACCGGUGACGAUGAUGACGGUAGCCGGAGAAGAAGCCCCGGCUAACUCCGUGCCAGCAGCGGCGGUAAGACGGAGGGGGCAAGCGUUGUCCGGACUCACUGGGCGUAAAGGGCGCGCAGGCGGGACGGCGCGUCGGCGCUGAAAGCGCCCGGCUUAACCGGGCGCGGCGCGGCGAUACGACCGACCUGGAGGCAGGCAGAGGGUGGCGGAAUUCCGGGUGUAGUGGUGAAAUGCGUAGAGAUCCGGAGGAACGCCUGUGGCGCAAGCGGCCGCCUGGGCCUGACCUGACGCUGAGGCGCGAAAGCGUGGGGAGCGAACCGGAUUAGAUACCCCCGUAGUCC